rnacentral:rRNA from 1 species
UACAGAGGUCCCGAGCGUUGUUCGGAUUCACUGGGCGUAAAGGGUGCGUAGGUGGUGAGGUAAGUCGGAUGUGAAAUCUCCGAGCUCAACUCGGAAAUGGCAUUGGAAACUACCUUGCUUGAGGGUUGGAGGGGGGACUGGAAUACUUGGUGUAGCAGUGAAAUGCGUAGAUAUCAAGAGGAACACCAGUGGCGAAGGCGAGUCCCUGGACAACUUCUGACGCUGAGGCACGAAAGCUAGGGGAGCAAACAGG